CCUACGGGAGGCAGCAGUGGGGAAUAUUGGGCAAUGGAGGAAACUCUGACCCAGCGACGCCGCGUGAGGGAUGAAGGCCUUCGGGUUGUAAACCUCUUUCAGUAGGGAAGAAGCGAAAGUGACGGUACCUACAGAAGAAGCACCGGCUAACUAUGUGCCAGCAGCCGCGGUAAUACAUAGGGUGCAAGCGUUGUCCGGAAUUAUUGGGCGUAAAGAGCUCGUAGGUGGUUCGAUACGUCGGAUGUGAAAAUCAGGGGCUCAACCCCUGACCUGCAUCCGAUACGGUCGAGCUAGAGUUUGGUAGGGGAGACUGGAAUUCCUGGUGUAGCGGUGGAAUGCGCAGAUAUCAGGAGGAACACCGAUGGCGAAGGCAGGUCUCUGGGCCAAUACUGACACUGAGGAGCGAAAGCGUGGGGAGCGAACAGGAUUAGAUACCCUGGUAGUCCACGCCGUAAGCGGUGGGCGCUAGUUGUGCGAACCUUCCACGGUUUGUGCGACGCNGCUACGACAUAGCGCCCGCCGUCGGGAGUACGAGCGCGAGAGUAAACGUAACUAAUAGUUAGUUAGUAGCGUUGAGACGNGCGACGGACGACGACGAGGGAGAGG
rnacentral:rRNA from 1 species